GAUGAACGCUGGCGGCGUGCCUAAUACAUGCAAGUCGAGCGAACAGACGAGGAGCUUGCUCCUCUGACGUUAGCGGCGGACGGGUGAGUAACACGUGGAUAACCUACCUAUAAGACUGGGAUAACUUCGGGAAACCGGAGCUAAUACCGGAUAAUAUAUUGAACCGCAUGGUUCAAUAGUGAAAGACGGUUUUGCUGUCACUUAUAGAUGGAUCCGCGCCGCAUUAGCUAGUUGGUAAGGUAACGGCUUACAAAGGCAACGAUGCGUAGCCGCCCUGAGAGGGUGAUCGGCCACACUGGAACUGAGACACGGUCCAGACUCCUACGGGAGGCAGCAGUAGGGAAUCUUCCGCAAUGGGCGAAAGCCUGACGGAGCAACGCCGCGUGAGUGAUGAAGGUCUUCGGAUCGUAAAACUCUGUUAUUAGGGAAGAACAAAUGUGUAAGUAACUAUGCACGUCUUGACGGUACCUAAUCAGAAAGCCACGGCUAACUACGUG
rnacentral:rRNA from 1 species